GACGAACGCUGGCGGCGUGCCUAAUACAUGCAAGUAGGACGCUGAAGAGAGGAGCUUGCUCUUCUUGGAUGAGUUGCGAACGGGUGAGUAACGCGUAGGUAACCUGCCUUGUAGCGGGGGAUAACUAUUGGAAACGAUAGCUAAUACCGCAUAACAAUGGAUGACACAUGUCAUUUAUUUGAAAGGGGCAAUUGCUCCACUACAAGAUGGACCUGCGUUGUAUUAGCUAGUAGGUGAGGUAAUGGCUCACCUAGGCGACGAUACAUAGCCGACCUGAGAGGGGGAGCGGCCACACUGGGACUGAGACACGGCCCAGACUCCUACGGGAGGCAGCAGUAGGGAAUCUUCGGCAAUGGGGGCAACCCUGACCGAGCAACGCCGCGUGAGUGAAGAAGGUUGUCGGAUCGUAAAGCUCUGUUGUAAGUCAAGAACGGGUGUGAGAGUGGAAAGUUCACACUGUGACGGUAGCUGACCAGAAAGGGACGGCUAACUACGUG
rnacentral:rRNA from 1 species